GACGAACGCUGGCGGCGUGCUUAACACAUGCAAGUCGAACGGAAAGGCCCUGCUUUUGUGGGGUGCUCGAGUGGCGAACGGGUGAGUAACACGUGAGUAACCUGCCCUUGACUUUGGGAUAACUUCAGGAAACUGGGGCUAAUACCGGAUAGGAGCUCCUGCUGCAUGGUGGGGGUUGGAAAGUUUCGGCGGUUGGGGAUGGACUCGCGGCUUAUCAGCUUGUUGGUGGGGUAGUGGCUUACCAAGGCUUUGACGGGUAGCCGGCCUGAGAGGGUGACCGGCCACAUUGGGACUGAGAUACGGCCCAGACUCCUACGGGAGGCAGCAGUGGGGAAUAUUGCACGAUGGGCGGAAGCCUGAUGCAGCAACGCCGCGUGCGGGAUGACGGCCUUCGGGUUGUAAACCGCUUUCGCCUGUGACGAAGCGUGAGUGACGGUAAUGGGUAAAGAAGCACCGGCUAACUACGUGCCAGCAGCCGCGGCGAUACGUAGGGUGCGAGCGUUGUCCGGAUUUAUUGGGCGUAAAGGGCUCGUAGGUGGUUGAUCGCGUCGGAAGUGUAAUCUUGGGGCUUAACCCUGAGCGUGCUUUCGAUACGGGUUGACUUGAGGAAGGUAGGGGAGAAUGGAAUUCCUGGUGGAGCGGUGGAAUGCGCAGAUAUCAGGAGGAACACCAGUGGCGAAGGCGGUUCUCUGGGCCUUUCCUGACGCUGAGGAGCGAAAGCGUGGGGAGCGAACAGGCUUAGAUACCCUGGUAGUCCACGCUGUAAACGGUGGGUACUAGGUGUGGGGUCCAUUCCACGGGUUCCGUGCCGUAGCUAACGCUUUAAGUACCCCGCCUGGGGAGUACGGCCGCAAGGCUAAAACUCAAAGGAAUUGACGGGGCCCCGCACAAGCGGCGGAGCAUGCGGAUUAAUUCGAUGCAACGCGUAGAACCUUACCUGGGUUUGACAUGGAUCGGGAGUGCUCAGAGAUGGGUGUGCCUCUUUUGGGGUCGGUUCACAGGUGGUGCAUGGCUGUCGUCAGCUCGUGUCGUGAGAUGUUGGGUUAAGUCCCGCAACGAGCGCAACCCUUGUUCACUGUUGCCAGCACGUUAUGGUGGGGACUCAGUGGAGACCGCCGGGGUCAACUCGGAGGAAGGUGGGGAUGACGUCAAGUCAUCAUGCCCCUUAUGUCCAGGGCUUCACGCAUGCUACAAUGGCUGGUACAGAGAGUGGCGAGCCUGUGAGGGUGAGCGAAUCUCGGAAAGCCGGUCUCAGUUCGGAUUGGGGUCUGCAACUCGACCUCAUGAAGUCGGAGUCGCUAGUAAUCGCAGAUCAGCAACGCUGCGGUGAAUACGUUCCCGGG
rnacentral:rRNA from 1 species